rnacentral:rRNA from 1 species
UACGUAGGGUGCAAGCGUUAAUCGGAAUUACUGGGCGUAAAGCGCACGUAGGCGGAUUUGUAAGUCAGGGGUGAAAUCCCGAGGCUCAACCUCGGAACUGCCUUUGAUACUGCAAAUCUCGAGUCCGGAAGAGGUGAGUGGAAUUCCUAGUGUAGAGGUGAAAUUCGUAGAUAUUAGGAAGAACACCAGUGGCGAAGGCGGCUCACUGGUCCGGUACUGACGCUGAGGUGCGAAAGCGUGGGGAGCAAACAGG